GCCUCCGCCACUCCACAACAAUGGCGGACAAGCCGUGAAAAAAAGGAGGAAAAAAACGCCCCGGCUCGGGCUGCGGCAGUGUGGAGACCUGUCGUAUACGCAGGCGGCGCAAGCCCCUGUGAGGGCACAUCCGGCGGAGGCCAUGUAUCCGGAGUCAGAAAACUAUGGCA
rnacentral:ncRNA from 1 species